rnacentral:rRNA from 1 species
UGGGGAAUUUUGCACAAUGGGGGAAACCCUGAUGCAGCGACGCCGCGUGAUUUAGAAGGCCUUCGGGUUGUAAAAAUCUUUUCUAUGGGAAGAAAAUGACAGUACCAUAGGAAUAAGGACCGGCUAAUUACGUGCCAGCAGCCGCGGUAAUACGUAAGGUCCGAGUGUUGUCCGGAAUCAUUGGGCGUAAAGGGUACGUAGGCGGGUAAGCAAGUUAGAAGUGAAAUCCUAUAGCUCAACUAUAGUAAGCUUUUAAAACUGCUCAUCUUGAGGUAUGGAAGGGAAAGUGGAAUUCCUAGUGUAGCGGUGAAAUGCGCAGAUAUUAGGAGGAAUACAGGUGGCGAAGGCGACUUUCUGGCCAUAACCUGACGCUGAGGUACGAAAGCGUGGGUAGCAAACAGG